GUGAGGAAUUUUCCGCAAUGGGCGAAAGCCUGACGGAGCAAUGCCGCGUGCAGGAAGAAGGCCUUCGGGUUGUAAACUGCUUUUGUACGGAACGAAACGGUCCUGGUUAAUACCUGGGGCUAAUGACGGUACCGUAAGAAUAAGCACCGGCUAACUACGUGCCAGCAGCCGCGGUAAUACGUAGGGUGCGAGCGUUAAUCGGAAUUACUGGGCGUAAAGCGUGCGCAGGCGGUGCUGUAAGACAGGCGUGAAAUCCCCGGGCUCAACCUGGGAAUUGCGCUUGGGACUGCAGUGCUGGAGUACGGCAGAGGGGGAUGGAAUUCCGCGUGUAGCAGUGAAAUGCGUAGAUAUGCGGAGGAACACCGAUGGCGAAGGCAGUCCCCUGGGCCUGUACUGACGCUCAUGCACGAAAGCGUGGGGAGCAAACAGGAUUAGAUACCCUAGUAGUCC
rnacentral:rRNA from 1 species